UUGCCCACUCUUUGCAGGAGGCAGUUAUGAGACGUGAAGAUGAGUAUCUUGUAAAGAGGGAUAGGAGAAUUUGGAGGGCAAGUUUGGUGCCAGCAGCCGCGGUAAUACCGACUCCAAGAGUGUGUAUGAGAGAUGCUGCAGUUAAAAAGUCCGUAGUCAUAGAAGGGCAAAGAGAGAUGCGAGGUCUCACAGUGCGAUGAUGGAGGAGCCGAUGGGGAACAUAGUAUACCAGGGCGAGAGAUGAAAUGCCAAGACCCCUGGUGGACUGAGCGAGGCGAAGGCGAUGUUCUUGUAGGCAUUCGGUGAUCAAGGACGAAGGCUGGAGUAUCGAAAGUGAUUAGAUACCGCAGUAGUUCCAGCAGUAAAAGAUGCCGACAUGCUCAUUGGACACAGUGGGCAGGGAGAAAUCUUAGAGUUCGGGCUCUGGGGAUAGUAUGCUCGCAAGGGUGAAAAUUAAAGAAAUUGACGGAGCUACACCACAAGGAGUGGAUUGUGCGGCUUAAUUUGACUCAACGCGAGGAAACUUACCAGGGCCAAGUAUUGUGUAGAAACGAGCAAUACAGGAGUGGUGCAUGGUCGUUGGAAAUUGAUGGGAUGACUUUGACCUUAAAUGGUUGAAUGAGUGAGAUCUUUUGGACAUGUUCCGCACGGAACAGGAAGGAAAAGGCUAUAACAGAUCCGAGAUGCCCUCAGAUGCCCUGGGCUGCACGCGCAAUACAAUAGCAGGUAGAGAGAGAGACAGGAAGGUGCUCAGAUGGACUAUGUGCUGUAAGGCACAU
rnacentral:rRNA from 1 species